rnacentral:rRNA from 1 species
GAUGAACGCUGGCGGCGUGCCUAAUACAUGCAAGUCGAGCGAACGGACGAGAAGCUUGCUGCUCUGAUGUUAGCGGAGGACGGGUGUGUAACACGUGGAUACCCUACCUAUAAGACUGGGAUAACUUCGGGAAACCGUAGAUAAUACCGGAUAAUCUCUUGAACCGCAUGGUUCAAUAGUAAAAGACGGUCUUGCUGUCACUACUAGCUGGAUCCGCGCUGCAUUAGCUAGUUGGUAAGGUGACGGCUUACCAAGGCAACGAUGCAUAGCCGACCUAAGGGGGUGAUCGGCGACACGGGAACGGGGACACGGUCCAUGCUCCUACGGGAGGCAGCAGUAGGGAAUCGUCCGCAGUGGUCGAAAGCCUGGCGGAGCGACGGCGCGUGAGUUAUGGAGGUCUUCGGAUCGUAAAGCUCUGUUAUGAGUGAAGAACAUAUGUGUAAGUAACUGUGCACAGCGUGACGGUACCUAAUCAGAAAGCCACGGCUAACUACGUG